rnacentral:lncRNA from 1 species
AAGCCUGCCUUCCCUGCCAAUAGCCGAGAGCAAGACCCGCUACAACAGAAACAGAGAGAGGACACGGCUGGCGGAGGUGCCGCCAUGGGGGAUUUCUGUACGACGGCGUCAGGUCCUCGGUGGUCAGUCGCGGGGGAUCGCCAGGUCGUGUGGGAGCUUCAGGGGUCAUUGAUACGGUGUGGGAGGCCUUGACCCUAUGGCGAUUUCACGCCGGAGUCGCCACAACCUCGCGGAUCCGUAACCUAGCGUCGAGGGCUUCCCUACCGAGAUAAUCUGAGGUGAGCAUGAUACUAAACCAUUCAUCGUACCCGUAGCUACGUGUAUCAUCUUGCGGACCGGAAUUUUUGGCAACGGGGCUGCGGAUUGGAUUGCUGUCCAUGGCGCCACCGCGGGCUGUUCACCGCCGUGCUGGGAAUCGGCUGUGGGAUGAAGACGAUUUUCGUGCCGUCGGAUCUCUAUGUACGGUGAAGAUUAGAUAAUGGACGUACCGCUUCGGGUAGUGGAUAGGGACCGUAGAUCUAGGGGUAGACGGCCGAGAUUAGUUCAUGAAGGUAUCCUUCAGCACUGUAGAAUACGGGACGCCGAUCUCGAUCUGGACGACGGAGCUUUAGGGUAGGCGUGGGAUCUCUAGAGCCCUUGAUCGGCUGUUGGAUGGCUCUGGUUGAUCCCGCCGUGUGCCAGCAUGGCGUUUGCAACGCAUGGCGUUUUUGCAAUCGCGCCCUCGUUUUUCUUCAGAAUCAACCCGCCAUCCUGCGCGGGGUGAAUAUGAGUCUCAGAGAUUCUUGCUUUGUAACCCCUGGUUUUUCUGUUAUUUGGCGCACAGUCCAAACAGUUAAUAAAACAGGAAAAUCAAUUUAGAAAAUGAUUUUUAAUACCAAAUUAAUUACAAGAACUUGUUUAAUGCCUAGAAAAUUCGUAUUAAAUCCUUUUUAGUUCAUUACAGUCCCUAAAAUCUUGUAAUAAUAUUGUACAUCACAUAGUGUUACUGUUUGACAUGAAAACCAUUUUAAAAUUUAUUUCCUAAUUAAACCCAUAUCAAAUACAUAAAACCUUAGGAAAAAUCAUAACUCCUGCGUCUUAAUUCCGAAUUUACUCGUUCCAGUCGCGUUAGUCUCGUAUAAAUAUUUACUACGCAGUAACAACAUUUAUUAUACCAUUUCUCACUAUUUUAUAAUUAGAUCUGUAUUUAACUGAGGUUGGUUAGUCUGGUUAAACUACUUAUCAUUAUAAUCUACUAGAAUAUGAUCUAUGGUCAAUUCAUAACUUAGAUUAAAGUGGAGAUAAUUAUUUAUAGAAUAACCUCUCAAAUGAUUUAUAUUAACCAAUUUAUAAUAUAGUUUAAUAUUUUAACCACACAGAUCUUUUAUAAAAUCAUAACCCCUUAAUUGUGACUCCGAUCUUAGUAGUUCUCGAUCCCGCGAUCUCGUAGCUUCGCGUAGACUAUUAUUACGCAGUUUAUUAUUGUGUUUGGUGUAAUGUUAAUUUUUGCCUAUACACUGUUUGUUUGUAUUACUACGACUAGCGUGAGGACACGUGUCAUCUGAAGAGCAAGUUGGUACCUGGAAUCUCAAGUCCCAGGCAAGUUGUGCCCUUGAUCACUUCUUUUACCCACUCAUGUUCUAAUUAAUCAUAAUGAUCUGCAUAGGUUAAUUUGAUGGGACCUAAUAGGUUACCCUAGUUUGUCUAUCUUUAUGCCUUGUUUACCACUAAACUUUCUGGGUAGUACUUGCUAGUGCUAUAUGUGGAUUUGGGCAUUGAGAUACAUAUUAUUCAUACUUUUGUUAUCAGUUGCUAUUUACUGUUCAUGAUAAGAUCAUUAUGUUAAUUGGAACAUGGAGAACCACCCGGGAAAACAGUGCUACCACAAGGGUUUAAUGGGACGCCCUUGGCCGAUUAAUUAGGAAAGCUAGUGGAAGACUACCUUACCCGAAAGGGGCAAGGGCAGUAGGGGAGUGGUCAGUGUAGGGAGGCCCUCGGGAGGAUUUUGCUGCGAUGGCGGUCCUGCAAGGGAUUCCUGCAUUGGAGCUCCCUAUAAACUGUAGCGGGUUUUCUGAAGCUAGUGGAACUUUGUAAAGGCCUCGUAGUGUUACCCUGCCUCGCCUCCUCGGUAGAGGUGUAUGGGAAGUCGCGAUCCCUUCGCAGAUGGGUAACAUGACUUGUGGGUAAAGAUGCGCAACCUCUGCAGAGUGUAAAACUGGUAUACUAGCCGUGCUCACGGUCAUGAGCAGCUCGGACACUCACAUGAUUAAUCUAUGGAACUUAAAUUCAAUUUGUCAUAUGCAUUGCAUCGCAGGAGAUGUUGUUACUUCUGAUCUACUAUUUAAUUGGGUUGGUAUUUACUUAUACUUAGUAAUGGCUAAUAAAAUUUUGACCAACUUUAAAAGCAAUGCUCAGCUUCAGCCAUCCUCUUUGGUAAGCCUUACACUUCACAUGAGCUCCCACCUUUGGCGAGUUCAUACACAUUAUUCCCCACAACUUGUUGAGCGAUGAACGUAUGUGAGCUCACUCUUGCUGUCUCACACCCCCACAGGUCAAGAACAGGUACCGCAGGAUGAGGCGCUUGGAGGAUGCUGCGAUGUGUUCGUGAGAGGUCUAGGCCGUCGUCUCCCAGUCAACUUUGGGUUGCUGGACCGUUGUCUCCUUAUAAUGUAAUUAUUUAUUUUGUAUAGAACUC